rnacentral:tRNA from 1 species
CGUCGCGGCAGGUGGACCGGGGCUUCCGCGCCCUGCGGGAGCGCGGCUUCCGGCCGUUGAUGGGGCUGGCGGUCCGGGCCCGCUACGCGGUGG